rnacentral:RNase_P_RNA from 2 species
ACGUUCAGGUAAUCGCUGCAGUCUUUAGAUUGUAGAGGAAAGUCCAUGCUCGCACGGUGCUGAGAUGCCCGUAGUGUUCGUGCCUAGCGAAUUCAUAAGCUAGGGCAGUUCGUGUUUGAACUGACGGCAGGGAAAAAGCCUAAGUCCUUUGUGGAUAUGGCUUGACUACCUUGAAAGUGCCACAGUGACGUAGUCUUACAAGAAAUUGUAAGAGUGGAACGAGGUAAACCCCACGAGCGAGAAACCCAAAUAAUGGUAGGGGCACCUUCUUGGAGAAAAUGAACGAAGAGAAGGACAGAAACUUGUUUCUGUAGAUAGAUGAUUACCACCUGAGUACGAGGCUUUGCCGAUUGUAGUACGAUGGAACAAAACAUGGCUUAUCGAA